UACAGAGGUCUCAAGCGUUGUUCGGAUUCAUUGGGCGUAAAGGGUGCGUAGGCGGCGCGGUAAGUCGGGUGUGAAAGUCAAAGGCUCAACCUUUGAAAGCCGAUGGAUACUGUGAAGCUAGAGUACGGAAGAGGCGAGUGGAAUUCCUGGUGUAGCGGUGGAAUGCGCAGAUAUCAGGAGGAACACCAAUAGCGAAGGCAGCUCGCUGGGACGUUACUGACACUGAGGCGCGAAAGCGUGGGGAGCGAACAGG
rnacentral:rRNA from 1 species